rnacentral:misc_RNA from 1 species
UCACCUUGACGCCGAACUCGACGCCUACAUGGCAGAGUCACAGAGCUGAACAUGAACACAUAGAGAUGAACAUGAACACCAUCAAAUGAACUUGAACACCUUUAACUUAACAUGAAUACCUGAUCACUUGAGAAGAAACACCUUGAACUGAAUAUGGACACAAAGUGAACAUAAACAUGUAGAAUUGAACAUGAAAAACUUGAGGAGCAUUAACAAUCAUCAUUGAAAUCGUGAACUGAACGUGCAAUAUGCAUUAUUAACCAAUUUAAUGACUUCCGUACCAAAUCUAUUUUUUUUGUCUGAAAUUUUUUUUACUAGGAGAUAUUUUUGGUGACUUGUGAUGGAGUUAUAUAGUGUGGUGAUAUUGAUAGUGAGUUUUCUCUCGGUUUUACAGAGGGGAAUAUUAGUGUGAAUAAAUUAUACAUAAAGUUCAUAAAAAAAAAAAGAGGUGAUGUAUAAUUGAGCCAAGUGGUAGUCCAUGUACAAGCAUUCAUUUUAUAUGGCAACAUUACAUGACUGGAGUGCAAGAUUGGACUGAUUGUUAUAGUGUUAUAAAGAAUAUCAGAGAUCGUAAACAGAGAGUGUUUUAUGUAUGAUCCACCCAUCAUGUAACACCAAGCUUUAGUGUUGUGGAUUUACAGAUGAUCACAGUAGAACGUUCAUAGAAUUCCCUGUAUGUUAUCCUCUGUUAACUGUCCCCCAUUAUUACUACUUAUAUAACACUUAUCUGUAGACUGUUGUGUUUUGUAGAAGUUUUGUAGCACAUGUUUAUUUUGUUUUUCAUGUUGUUAGAGUAUAUAAAAUAUACUUACAAUC